UACGGAGGGUGCAAGCGUUAUCCGGAUUCACUGGGUUUAAAGGGUGCGUAGGUGGGUUGGUAAGUCAGUGGUGAAAUCUCCGUGCUUAACAUGGAAACUGCCAUUGAUACUACUGAUCUUGAAUUUUCAGGAGGUAAGCGGAAUAUGUCAUGUAGCGGUGAAAUGCUUAGAUAUGACAUAGAACACCAAAUUGCGAAGGCAGCUUACUACAGGAAUAUUGACACUGAUGCACGAAAGCGUGGGGAUCAAACAGG
rnacentral:rRNA from 1 species